CCUACGGGAGGCAGCAGUGAGGAAUAUUUGUCAAUGGGCGCUAGCCUGAACCAGCCAAGUAGCGUGAAGGAUGACUGCCCUAUGGGUUGUAAACUUCUUUUAUAUGGGAAUAAAGUGCAGUAUGUAUACUGCUUUGCAUGUACCUUAUUAAUAAGGAUCGGCUAACUCCGUGCCAGCAGCCGCGGUAAUCCGGAGGAUCCGAGCGUUCUCCGGAUUUAUUGGGUUUAAAGGGAGCGUAGGCGGGUUGUUAAGUCAGUUUUGAACGUCUGCGGAGCAACCGUAAGAGUGCAGUUGGUACUGGAAGACUUGAGUACAGUAGAGGUAGGCGGAAUUCGUGGUGUAGCGGUGAAAUGCUUAGAUAGCACGAAGAACUCCGAUUGCGAAGGCAGCCUGCUGGACUGUAACUGACGCUGAUGCUCGAAAGUGUGGGUAUCAAACAGGAUUAGAUACCCGUGUAGUC
rnacentral:rRNA from 1 species